CGUCAUUAAUUUAUAUGAAAUGGAAGCAGGCCAAGCUAAGUUUUAUCUUUAAAUAAUUAAUGGGAUCAAGGUGGAAUCUUGUUUUUGUUUGGUGCAACUUGGGUGAUGCACCUGGUGAAAGUUAGACCAGAUUUCUUAAAUCGAGCAUAAUCAAAUGAGGAUAUGGGCAACGAAUGAAAUUCACAGUUGAAAACAUAGACGGGAAAGUGAAAAAAUGUACUCUAUGCCAAAUUAUACGAAAACACUUUAACAGAACGUUCCUAGUGAGUCUACAAAGGAACCGACUGCUUCACUGUUCCGAUUUCAUGUGUACCUAAAGUUAGAUUUCUUGAUAUGUGUAACCCCAGUGGAAAAUCCAGGUCAGUUAUAGUGUUGGGAAUUGUCAGUUACAGUGUAACCUGUGAAACAUCAACCACUGGUAUAUGUCUGUCUUGUGCCAGCUCAAGUAGUUACAGGCUGCCUAUGUGUAGCUGGAAUAUACUUAUUAACUCACGCUCUGUGUGUCAUUGUGACCCGACCGCAUUGAUCAUGUUAUAAUCACUGCAUUGUCUGGUCAGAUUCAAUUACUGACAGGCCAUCGUGAUAUUGGCUUGAAUAUUAUCUAACGCAACGUUAUAAAUAAAGAAACAAACCCAA